UUUUCAUACCCAUGUUGUGCAUAAAUUAGACCGGGUAUAGUAGAUAGUACUAUUAUCUUUCAUUUAACUCUUUAUACGGCGGUGGCAACUAUAUAGCCACCUUUUCGUUUCGUUCAUAACGCAAGAAUUUGAAGUGAGAAGUGUUCCAAUCUAAUGAAAUCUACUUCAUUUGUAUUCGAACCCAGGUACAUUGUGUUACUACAUUCGUCGCUCUUCCAUCUAAGCCAUAUCGCCUUUCUACUAGCACAUGAAAAAUUGGUCAUCAUACCAAUCAAGGGGUGCAACCUUAGAACAGGAGGUGCCUUACACCUCGGAUGGUAACGUCAUUUUUCUCGAUAAUUUUUUUCAUCACAUCGGAGCAUUUUUUUCAAAACCUCGAAUCAUUUGGCAUUAAAAGUCGUUAUUUUAUUCAUCUACUGUGCUGCUGUUAAAGUUAAUAAAAUGAACCAGUGUUAUAUCCACGAUACAGGCACCGGUCACUUUUUCUGCAUUGUGCAAACCAUGAAGCGAGUCGACCGGUUCUUUCAAUAGUUCUACAUCAAUGGAUCGAUGGAAAAUAUCGAUUAUGGCCACCAAAGCGGUUGGAAUUACUUAUAAGAGAUCCAUCAUCGAAACCAUCUCCAAAUUGGAACAGAUUAAAAUGCGAAGUAAAACGAAAAUAUAU